CCUUCCGUAGGGGGAACCUGCGGAWGGAUCAUUACCUAGAGWUGUAGGCUUUGCCUGCUAUCUCUUACCCAUGUCUUUUAAGUACCUUACGUUUCCUCGGCGGGUCCGCCCGCCGAUUGGACAAUUUAAACCAUUUGCAGUUGCAAUCAGCGUCUGAAAAAACUUAAUAGUUACAACUUUCAACAACGGAUCUCUUGGUUCUGGCAUCGAUGAAGAACGCAGCGAAAUGCGAUAAGUAGUGUGAAUUGCAGAAUUCAGUGAAUCAUCGAAUCUUUGAACGCACAUUGCGCCCCUUGGUAUUCCAUGGGGCAUGCCUGUUCGAGCGUCAUUUGUACCUUCAAGCUCUGCUUGGUGUUGGGUGUUUGUCUCGCCUCUGCGUGUAGACUCGCCUCAAAACAAUUGGCAGCCGGCGUAUUGAUUUCGGAGCGCAGUACAUCUCGCGCUUUGCACUCAUAACGACGACGUCCAAAAGUACAUUUUUACACUCUUGACCUCGGAUCAGGUAGSGAURCCCGCKGAACUUAAGCAUAUCAAUAAGGCGGGAGGAA
rnacentral:rRNA from 1 species